CCUUGAUGUGUAGGAUAGGUGGGAGGCUUAGAAGUGUGGACGCCAGUCUGCAUGGAGCCGACCUUGAAAUACCACCCUUUAAUGUUUGAUGUUCUAACGUUGACCCGUAAUCCGGGUUGCGGACAGUGUCUGGUGGGUAGUUUGACUGGGGCGGUCUCCUCCUAAAGAGUAACGGAGGAGCACGAAGGUUGGCUAAUCCUGGUCGGACAUCAGGAGGUUAGUGCAAUGGCAUAAGCCAGCUUGACUGCGAGCGUGACGGCGCGAGCAGGUGCGAAAGCAGGUCAUAGUGAUCCGGUGGUUCUGAAUGGAAGGGCCAUCGCUCAACGGAUAAAAGGUACUCCGGGGAUAACAGGCUGAUACCGCCCAAGAGUUCAUAUCGACGGCGGUGUUUGGCACCUCGAUGUCGGCUCAUCACAUCCUGGGGCUGAAGUAGGUCCCAAGGGUAUGGCUGUUCGCCAUUUAAAGUGGUACGCGAGCUGGGUUUAGAACGUCGUGAGACAGUUCGGUCCCUAUCUGCCGUGGGCGCUGGAGAACUGAGGGGGGCUGCUCCUAGUACGAGAGGACCGGAGUGGACGCAUCACUGGUGUUCGGGUUGUCAUGCCAAUGGCACUGCCCGGUAGCUAAAUGCGGAAGAGAUAAGUGCUGAAAGCAUCUAAGCACGAAACUUGCC
rnacentral:rRNA from 1 species